GGUAGGGCCCUGUAACACGGGGCCAGAUAACCGCUGGGCCCUACACAGGCCCACCAUCCCCCACGCAGUAGGCUGUGACCCCCGCCCCAUGGGGCUAGCGGAGGCGGAGCCCCUCUCGGAGGAGAGGGGUCAACCGCCUUAGCUGGGGGAACCUGGCCAGGCCCGGAAGGGAGCAACCUAACCCCGGACGCUGGCGUUCAUGGGUCAACGGGGCUGAGCCGGGCGUGGGACGGCUCUGGUGGUCAACCUGUGUAGGGUUCAGCGGGGCCGGGCC
rfam:Thermogladius cellulolyticus 1633, complete genome.